UGUGUUACUGGUUAUAUGUUGCUCUGUCUGUCUGUGUGAUACUGGUUAUAUGUUGCUCUGUCUGUCUGUCUGUGUUACUGGUUAUAUGUUGCUCUGUCUGUCUGUGUGAUACUGGUUAUAUGUUGCUCUGUCUGUCUGUGUGUUACUGGUUAUAUGUUGCUCUGUCUGUCUGUGUUACUGGUUAUAUGUUGCUCUGUCUGUCUGUCCUUUACAGAAAUGUUGAUAAAUGUGCACUGUACCUUUAAAAAAAUAAACUUAAUUAAAGUAAUAAUAAUAAUGUCUGGAUAAUGUAUAGAAUAUCAAGGUUCAGAGUUUAUAACUGGAUAAUGUAUAGAAUAUCCAGGUUCAGAGUUUAUAACUGGAUAAUGUAUAGAAUAUCAAGGUUCAGAGUUUAUAACUGGAUAAUGUAUGGAAUAUCAAGGUUCAGAGUUUAUAACUGGGUAAUGUAUAGAAUAUCAAGGAUGCGUUUAUAACUGGGUAAUGUAUAGAAUAUCAAGGUUCAGAGUUUAUAACUGGAUAAUGCACAUGUUGAGGUCCAGUGUGAGGAUAACAUAGCAUCAUAUAGAGGACCAGUGUGUGUAUGACUGGAUAAUGUAGCUUCAUAUAGAGGACCAGUGUGUGUAUGACUGGAUAAUGUAGCUUCAUAUAGAGGACCAGUGUGUGUAUGACUGGAUAACAUAGCAUCAUAUAGAGGACCAGUGUGUGUAUGACUGGAUAAUGUAGCUUCAUAUAGAGGACCAGUGUGUGCAUGACUGGAUAAUGUAGCUUCAUAUAGAGGACCAGUGUGUGUAUGACUGGAUAAUGUAGCUUCAUAUAGAGGACCAGUGUGUGUAUGACUGGAUAAUGUAGCUUCAUAUAGAGGACCCGUGUGUGUAUGACUGGAUAAUGUAGCUUCAUAUAGAGGACCAGUGUGUGUAUGACUGGAUAAUGUAGCUUCAUAUAGAGGACCAGUGUGUGCAUGACUGGAUAAUGUAGCUUCAUAUAGAGGACCAGUGUGUGUAUGACUGGAUAAUGUAGCUUCAUAUAGAGGACCAGUGUGUGUAUGACUGGAUAACAUAGCAUCAUAUAGAGGACCAGUGUGUGUAUGACUGGAUAAUGUAGCUUCAUAUAGAGGACCAGUGUGUGUAUGACUGGAUAAUGUAGCUUCAUAUAGAGGACCAGUGUGUUUAUGACUGGAUAAUGUAGCUUCAUAUAGAGGACCCGUGUGUGUAUGACUGGAUAAUGUAGCUUCAUAUAGAGGACCAGUGUGUUUAUGACUGGAUAAUGUAGCUUCAUAUAGAGGACCAGUGUGUGUAUGACUGGAUAAUGUAGCUUCAUAUAGAGGACCAGUGUGUGUAUGACUGGAUAAUGUAGCUUCAUAUAGAGGACCAGUGUGUGUAUGACUGGAUAAUGUAGCUUCAUAUAGAGGACCAGUGUGUUUAUGACUGGAUAAUGUAGCUUCAUAUAGAGGACCCGUGUGUGUAUGACUGGAUAAUGUAGCUUCAUAUAGAGGACCAGUGUGUGUAUGACUGGAUAAUGUAGCUUCAUAUAGAGGACCCGUGUGUGUAUGACUGGAUAAUGUAGCUUCAUAUAGAGGACCAGUGUGUGUAUG
rnacentral:lncRNA from 1 species